UGUGAUUGUAGUUCUCUGCCUCUCUCAAGCUAUUGGGAUAUCAUCUUCAACUCUGCCAAUGGCUUCACCCAUCUUCCCGUCUCCUUCACGAUGUUCUAACUUUUCUGUUUCCAUCAAAUUCUCGAUAAACUCCGAAACUAAUAUCUUUCUCCUGUUGCAACUGUUUCUCCCCGACAUAGAAGACGCUUCAAUGUCAUUUCCAUGGCUACCCCAUGCCAAGUGGCAAAUCCAAUAAAGAUUCAAACUUUUGUGAGCCACGCACUCUAUAAUCGAAGACUAUUCUGCUGCCUCCAGAGUUACCAUCAAUCCAAUUUGCUCGGAGCCUACACUGCCUUCAGAAAAGUUUCCAGAUAAACCCUCCUUACCUAUUCCCUUCAUUUCUUCAUCCAAAUUUUUAUCUCAUGGAAUUAAGUUAUUGAUUUGUGUCUCAAUGUGUUGAUACAGGAGUUUUGAUUUUAUGUGUCAUCAAAGGCACUGAAGAUUCUUCAACUGUGUAGUACUUUUUGUACCUAUUAUUUGCUUCUAGGAUUCAGUUACAUCCAGAAGAGCUAAAUGUUACCGGUUAAAAAGUGUCGUGAUGUUUGCUAUGCUCAUUGGUUUUGGAUGGAUUGCAUAUCUUGAUUUGAUAUUUAAGUCGUAUAGCCAGCUUUUUCAACAAAUAAUCCAGUGUAUCAGGCCGAGUUCCUCUCUCGUGGAAUCUUAGUAUUUGCUGUUCAAUGCAUUUUUUCUUUAUUUGUGUUUGUAGUGAAUAGUGUCUGCAUUGUCUGUUGAUGCUUAAUUAAUGAAAGCUUUCAAAUGGGACAAUUUUUUUUCGGCAAAAGUUACCGGAAAUGUGGUGCUGAGAAUGUGUCUCGGUAUUUUCUCUGCAUCUCCCAUUAACAGGUACAUCAUUUAACCAUGUCUUACCCAUACUAGAUGCAUUUUUUUUUUGUUUAUCAUGAGUUAAUGUUGGAACGUUUUGAUUAUUCAUGUUUAUCUUUCUUUUUUUAUGCUUUGCAGCUGACUGUAACAUGAAAUGACGAUGGUAUGGCACAAAAUUUUUCUAGAAAGAUGUUUUUUUCAAUAUUCAAUUGUCUUGUGUUUUAAUUGUCUUGUGUUUUUACAUGUUUUGCAACUUAACCUUAUGCUUUCAUGAUCUGAUGCAAGAAUCGAGUUUGGUUUACAGUGAAUAGCAGUUCAUUUUGAGACUUACCACUUGGGUGAAUAUAUAUGUCAAAUUUUAAUUUUUCUUGAGAUGGAACUCACUUAGGCUUGACGUUGUUAGCUCAACGUUAUGGUUUUUUUUAGGGAUUGUGUUGCAAACUACCUAAGUGUCUUGAUUUGGGUCAGUUGUGGAAGUCUAAUAACAAUUCUAAGGUUAAGCAUGUAUGUUUUGUGUUUUAUAUGUCUACCUCCUAAAGGUUGAUAAGAUAUGUGAAAGGUUGCAGAUUGAGAUAGAUCAACUAUUUUGAGAGGUGAUGUCAAACGGAGAAAAAUCUCUAUUGAAGAGGAAGGCCAAAGAAAAGAAGAAUGACUUUUUCUUAUGUGUGUGGUUGAGGAUAUUCUGUUGGAAGAAAGAUGGGUCUUUUGUUGAAAGAAGCUUUGAAGACUGUGGAAUGUUGUAUUCUAAAAGAUCGGUUGCAACAUUUUAUUUUACUUUCUCACCAUUUUCUUCUCUUUUUUGUGUAAAAUAGUAUAUUUUUUCUUAUUACACUUGAUGUAUACAAAAAACUAUUGUUUGGUGAUUGAAGAUGAUCAUUGAUAAGGCCUUAGAUAGUAUUGGAUUAUUGAUACUUUUGGAAUUUGCUAUUUGUGUUCUUAAUUCAUUAGAUCAAUUGUCUUGAUUUGGACUCAUCAAAUUUUUGUGCUAUAUCUUGGAUAGAUGUUGCAGGAUGUAGUCUUUAAAAUUUGUUGCCAUAUUUCUUAGUUCUUAAUUAGAAUGUGAUCAUUCUUAUAUUCGAAGGUUCUAUAAGACAAACCAAGUUCAGCUGAUGAUGGUAGAGCUAUAAUCUCUUUGAAAAUCUUUAUAUAUGUUGGUCUUUGUUGUUUUUUUUUUAUAUAUAUAAUCGGUGUGUGGCAAAGUGGUUUUGGAAAGGAUGAUAGCAUGGCAUUGCGAAUUUCUAAGAUUAGUAUAAUUGAGAGAUAGUACCAAAUCUAAGUUUCGACUCCCACCAUAGUAGAAAAGUUAGCAACUUGGUGA